AAUCCAUGUUGUGGGCACUUCCGCAAAAGAUCCUUUGAACCGCUUCCAUGACUUAAACAAGAACUCAAAAUCCAUCUGAAUAAAUGAUGAUAUCUCAUUGUGAAGCUU